rnacentral:rRNA from 1 species
GCGCGAAAACUUUACAAUGCUGGCAACAGCGAUAAGGGAACCUCGAGUGCCAGGUUACAAAUCUGGCUGUUGAGAUGCCUAAAAAGCAUUUCAUAGCAAGGGCCGGGCAAGACCGGUGCCAGCCGCCGCGGUAACACCGGCGGCUCGAGUGGUAACCGUUAUUAUUGGGUCUAAAGGGUCUGUAACCGGCCGGAUAAGUCUCUUGGGAAAUCUGGCAGCUCAACUGUCAGGCUAUCAGGAGAUACUGUCUGGCUCGAGGCCGGGAGAGGUGAGAGGUACUUCAGGGGUAGGGGUGAAAUCUUGUAAUCCUUGAAGGACCACCAGUGGCGAAGGCGUCUCACCAGAACGGACCUGACGGCAAGGGACGAAAGCUAGGGGCACGAACCG